AGCAGCAGCCGCGGUAAAACGAAGGGUGCAAGCGUUAAUCGGAAUUACUGGGCGUAAAGCGUGCGUAGGUGGUGGUUUAAGUCCGUUGUGAAAGCCCUGGGCUCAACCUGGGAAUUGCAGUGGAUACUGGGUCACUAGAGUGUGGUAGAGGAUAGUGGAAUUUCCGGUGUAGCAGUGAAAUGCGUAGAGAUCGGAAGGAACAUCUGUGGCGAAGGCGACUAUCUGGGCCAACACUGACACUGAGGCACGAAAGCGUGGGGAGCAAACAGGAUUAGAUACCCCGGUAGUCCCUGUCUCUUAUAC
rnacentral:rRNA from 1 species